GACGAACGCUGGCGGCGUGCUUAACACAUGCAAGUCGGACGGAAAGGCCCUGCUUGCAGGGUGCUCGAGUGGCGAACGGGUGAGUAACACGUGGGUGAUCUGCCCCUUACUUUGGGAUAAGCCUGGGAAACUGGGUCUAGUACUGGAUAGGACCAUGCUGUAGGUGGUGUGGUGGAAAGAUUAGUUUCGGUAAGGGAUGAGCUCGCGGCCUAUCAGCUUGUUGGUGGGGUAAUGGCCUACCAAGGCGUCGACGGGUAGCCGGCCUGAGAGGGUGGACGGCCACAUUGGGACUGAGAUACGGCCCAGACUCCUACGGGAGGCAGCAGUGGGGAAUAUUGCACAAUGGGCGCAAGCCUGAUGCAGCGACGCCGCGUGGGGGAUGACGGCCUUCGGGUUGUAAACUCCUUUCAGCCAUGACGAAGCCCUUGUGGUGACGGUAGUGGUAGAAGAAGCACCGGCUAACUACGUG
rnacentral:rRNA from 1 species